rnacentral:rRNA from 1 species
GACGAACGCUGGCGGCGUGCCUAAUACAUGCAAGUCGAACGCAGUGGGGACGGGUGAGUAACACGUGGGUAACCUCCCAUCAGAGGGGAUAACACUUGGAAACAGGUGCUAAACCGAUACUGAUGGAUGAACCCGCGGUGCAUUAGCUAGUUGGUGAGGUAACGGCUCACCAAGGCCACGAUGCAUAGCCGACCGGAGAGGGUGAUCGGCCACACCGGGACUGAGAAACGGCCCAGACUCUUACGGGAGGCAGCAGUAGGGAAUCUUCGGCAAUGGACGAAAGUCGGACCGAGCAACGACGCGAGAGUGAAGAAGGUUUGCGGAUCGUAAAACUCUGUUGUUAGAGAAGCGGCAUCUACCCAGAAAGCAACGGCUAACUUCGUGCCAGCAGCCGCGGUAAUAC